rnacentral:rRNA from 1 species
UUGCACGCUGGCGGCAGGCCUAACACAUGCAAGUCGCACGGUAACAGGAAACAGCUUGCUGUUUCGCUGACGAGUGGCGGACGGGUGAGUAAUGUCUGGGAAACUGCCUGAUGGAGGGGGAUAACUACUGGAAACGGUAGCUAAUACCGCAUAACGUCGCAAGACCAAAGAGGGGGACCUUCGGGCCUCUUGCCAUCGGAUGUGCCCAGAUGGGAUUAGCUAGUAGGUGGGGUAACGGCUCACCUAGGCGACGAUCCCUAGCUGGUCUGAGAGGAUGACCAGCCACACUGGAACUGAGACACGGUCCAGACUCCUACGGGAGGCAGCAGUGGGGAAUAUUGCACAAUGGGCGCAAGCCUGAUGCAGCCAUGCCGCGUGUAUGAAGAAGGCCUUCGGGUUGUAAAGUACUUUCAGCGGGGAUGAAGGGAGUAAAGUUAAUACCUUUGCUCAUUGACGUUACCCGCAGAAGAAGCACCGGCUAACUCCGUG